rnacentral:rRNA from 1 species
GUACUCAGUUCGGAUUGAAGGCUGAAAUUCGCCUUCAUGAAGCUGGAAUUGCUAGUAAUGGCAGGCCAGCAUACUGCCGUGAAUACGUUCCCGGGCCUUGUACACACCGCCCGUCACACCAUGAGAGUUGGAAAUACCCGAAGCCUGUGAGCUAACUUUUAGAGGCAGCAGUCGAAGGUAGAGCCAAUGAUUGGGGUGAAGUCGUAACAAGGUAAC